UGGAACUGCAUAUGUAUAAAGGUAGAUUAAAAAAUCCAAGCUGCAAUGUCGACAUAAGAAAUAUACAACAGGAGUUCAAAACACAUAAUUGUCAUACAUCCAUAACAUUGAAACAUGUCCCAUAAAGCAAUGAAUGCUUAUCAAAACACAGUUGAAGUAGGUUAUAUUGUGAAAUAACAGUAAAUAUAGAGCAUAUAGAAUGUGUUAAGUAUCCUAGUUGGUGGAGUUCCUUUGACAGCAUUGGUUUGAAUGUAAGAAAUAGAUCAGCUUUGGCUUUAAUCAUAGGAAGAAAGAUAACAUGGACAGAUGUGGAAGGGCGAGCACAUGGCAGCAUUAGGGAUCAUGCAUGUUGGGACACGGUCACCUUUAUAGGCCUGCAAUUUCAAAUAGCAAAAAGAGUAAGUGAAAAUGCAAUUAUGAAUUACUGUGUGACAAACUUACUUAUGGAGUCGUCAUCACUGAUGCUUGAUAGUACUCGCAAGAAGUCAUGUCCAGCAAUAAGAGUUUCGGCCAAAUAUGGAUUGUACUGAAACUGUUAUGACAUGGGCAAUUGUUAACUGAUCAGCUAUUUGUUACAUUAGCAUACAGUUAAAUGCUUGUCAGAUUAGCAUACAGUCAAUGAAACAUAUGUACAACGAGCUGUAAACAUGUACCAUUUCCCAUGUAUCACCAUCUAAAUGCUUGCACUUAACUUCAUUUUAUUACUUGCUGCAAUUUCACUUUUCCUGUUUGUACUUUCCACACAUGUUCAUUGUACAACUUACUAACUUCCCCCUUACUGUUGAAUUGCCAGACAUACAUUCAAUUUUUAUUACAUUAACUUAAAAACAUACAAAACAUCUAAACUAAUUAGUCCCAUUGUUAUUAUACAAGCACAAGAAAUUAUGAUAUCAUUUUCAAAAAUUCUGUGUGAUUCACAUCUGACUUGUCACUUCGUAGAUGCUUCUACAAAGUUGCAGCUGAAGGCAUAGUCAUCCUGAAGAUAAAGAAAAGGAAAUAUGGCAGACACUUCUCCAAAGUUGCAGCCGAAGGCAUAGUUAGCCUGAAGAUAAAGAAACGGAAAUAUAGCAAACACACAGAGCAAACCACAAGUUUCUCAUCAAUCAUACAGCUUUAAAUGGGUCAUGUUCAGCUGCUAGAGUAUAAUCCCUAAAUCAUUUUCAAUAUUUUUUUUCCCCUUUACUCCACUAUUUUCUACUUCUCUAUAGGAAAUCUGACUUCCCACCACAUUAUUCGCAGCAACAAUAUUGAACUCAAUUAUUUCAGGUUCAGCUGCCACUAGGUUGAAUUUCUGUUGGCGAAAUCCCUCUCUCUUACAAUUUCAAUACACGUGUUUAUUAACAUAAAAAUAAUAGUAAAAAACUCCUUUAUAUUACCACAUUAUUCAUAAAAUUUCCAGAAAUUUAAUUUAAAAAUUUACGCCCUGCACUCUCAUAUCUUCCCAUUAUCCAUAUGAAAUCUAAUUUCACACCAAUGAAAUCUAAUUUCGCACCAACUAUAUUAUCAACUACAAAUGAUUCACGUUACAAAUCUCACAUUAAAAUUUCACUAACCUUAAUGAUGGUUUACACAAUCCUUUCCAUUUCUUCAAUACGACCACAACAAAUCCACAAGUCACCACAAUCGUCUUCGAAAAUUUAAUCCGGCGUCGCUACUGCAGCUGUAGUCACACACAAUUAUGAAACUGGUGGUUGCUUUAGGGAAAUCGCUCACGUCAGGCCAAAUAUGGUUAAGGAUUUGCAGAACCCUAAAACUAAUCUUGUACCUCAAAUGGGUUUGGGCAAUUGCCCGCUUCACAUCAUUGUUCGUGACUAAAAUCGCAACCGUUGGAUAACACUCUUUAUAAUCUAACGGCUGGACUAGAUAAUGACAAAUGAAGGGGGCACGGUAGCUGUACCCUUGAUAAUUGAUAAUUGCUAAGGGGGCUGGGUGAGAAAUCAACUAAUCAGAUCAAGCCAGCAAAAAUGCUAACGCAUUUAAGCAUAAAAGAACAAACCAAAUCAACUAUACUUGGUAAAACUUCUUACAGGCAAAACAAAAUUUAGAAGCUAGAUUGUAA
rnacentral:lncRNA from 1 species